GUCCUCUCCAUUGGCUGCAGUUCUAAAUAAACUGCUCCGGAGUGUUCUGCAGUAUGUAUAUCUGUUCUUGUGUUCUCCACUCUAUGGACUACAUGGUCCAUAGACGACUCUGCUUUGACACCUGGAGCACCUCUUCUCAGAAGAUGAACCACCAGGGUGGUUGCCGGACUCAGACGUUCCCUGCAAUGGGUCUAUUGAAUAUGGCUGGGACCAGCUGCAUCUGUCACAGGGCAGCCACAGUCUUUCCUCACACAGGCCAUCCUGCAACCUGCAGCUGCCCACACCUUGCUAUAUAUGCCUAAUAAAUAAUAAAAUAGAAUAUUGAUUGAAGUUACAAACACAAACAAAAAUGCCAAAUAUUUGGCAUUUAAUAAAUAAUUUAAUUAUUAAA